GACGUAGGGCGCAAGCGUUGUCCGGAUUUAUUGGGCGUAAAGGGCUCGUAGGCGGUUUGUCGCGUCGGGAGUGAAAACUCAGGGCUCAACCCUGAGCGUGCUUCCGAUACGGGCAGACUAGAGGUAUGCAGGGGGAGAACGGAAUUCCUGGUGUAGCGGUGGAAAUGCGCAGAUAUCAGGAGGAACACCGGUGGCGAAGGCGGUUCUCUGGGCAUUACCUGACGCUGAGGAAGCGAAAGGUGUGGGGAGCGAACAGG
rnacentral:rRNA from 1 species